CCUACGGGAGGCAGCAGUGGGGAAUAUUGGACAAUGGGCGAAAGCCUGAUCCAGCAAUGCCGCGUGAGUGAUGAAGGCCUUAGGGUCGUAAAGCUCUUUUACCCGGGAUGAUAAUGACAGUACCGGGAGAAUAAGCCCCGGCUAACUCCGUGCCAGCAGCCGCGGUAAUACGGAGGGGGCUAGCGUUGUUCGGAAUUACUGGGCGUAAAGCGUACGUAGGCGGUUAUUCAAGUCAGAGGUGAAAGCCCGGGGCUCAACCCCGGAACGGCCUUUGAAACUAGAUAGCUAGAGUCUUGGAGAGGUCAGUGGAAUUCCGAGUGUAGAGGUGAAAUUCGUAGAUAUUCGGAAGAACACCAGUGGCGAAGGCGACUGACUGGACAAGUACUGACGCUGAGGUACGAAAGCGUGGGGAGCAAACAGGAUUAGAUACCCUGGUAGUCCGCGCCGUAAACGAUGAUAACUAGCUGUCCGGGUACUUGGUAUCUGGGUGGCGCAGCUAACGCAUUAAGUUAUCCGCCUGGGGAGUACGGUCGCAAGAUUAAAACUCAAAUGAAUUGACGG
rnacentral:rRNA from 1 species